rnacentral:misc_RNA from 1 species
AACGCACAUUGCGCCCACUGGUAUUCCGGUGGGCAUGCCUGUUCGAGCGUCAUUAUCCCCCCUCAAACCCCGUGUUUGGUGUUAGACCCAAGUUGUGUGAACAACUGGUCUCAAAGACAAUGACGGCGUCCGUGGGACCCUCGGUGCAACGAGCUUUUAGGAGCACGCGCUGAGUUUCAAGGACCCUCCGGGCCGGUCUCCUAUUUAUCAUCAAGGUUGACCUCGGAUCAGGUAGGAAUACCCGCUGAACUUAA